rnacentral:rRNA from 1 species
UACGUAGGGUGCGAGCGUUAAUCGGAUUUACUGGGCGUAAAGCGUGCGCAGGCGGCCCGUUAAGACAGGUGUGAAAUCCCUGGGCUCAACCUAGGAAUUGCGCUUGUGACUGGCGGGCUCGAGUACGGUAGAGGGGGGUGGAAUUCCCGGUGUAGCGGUGAAAUGCGUAGAUAUCGGGAGGAAGGCCGGUGGCGAAGGCGGCCCUCUGGGCCUGUACUGACGCUCAUGCACGAAAGCGUGGGGAGCAAACAGG